UUUGACACAUUUUUCAACAUUGGUUGAAAGACAAUUUUGUGCCGAAAACAUCACUGUAUAUAUAGCUACAAUCAUGAAAAUAAUGCAUGACUUUUUAAAAGUUUGAGUCGUCAUAAUGUAUAUUAUUAGAACAAAUAUGAAAUUCUAAUAUAGUUUAGUCUGAUUUUGAUCGUUGAUCGUGAAAUGAUGAUUUUUUUGUAAUCUCUUGGUAAUUUAUAUAGAAAGUUAAUGAUGACUAUUUUAACAGUUUGUUUUUUUUUUUUUUUGUUUCUCUGUUUUAACGUAUAUAAACCGAAUCAUUUAUGUUAAACUUAUCUGUACUUUCUUAUGUUAGUUAUCUAUCCAGUUUUUCUUAUAACAAUAUAAAAUAUAUCAUUUA
rnacentral:lncRNA from 1 species